GCGGAGGCGUACUACUGCCACUCCGACCUUCAAGUGGCCUCUGCUCGCGAGCGGAUCUGGGCGUUCGGCGACAUAUGGGGGACUGCUCCGCAGUGGACCAACGUGCUGGCUUCGGUCAACCCCGCUCGUGUAU
rnacentral:SRP_RNA from 1 species